rnacentral:rRNA from 1 species
GUGGCCAAGUUUUUAAGGGCGCACGGUGGAUGCCUUGGCACCAGGAACCGAUGAAGGACGUGGGAGGCCGCGAUAGGCCCCGGGAGCUGUCAACCGAGCUUUGAUCCGGGGUGUCCGAAUGGGGAAACCCGGCAGUCGUCAUGGGCUGUCACCCGCUGCUGAACACAUAGCAGUGUGGAGGGAACGCGGGGAAGUGAAACAUCUCAGUACCCGCAGGAAGAGAAAACAACCGUGAUUCCGGGAGUAGUGGCGAGCGAAACCGGAUGAGGCCAAACCAGUCACGUGUGAUACCCGGCAGGGGUUGCGUGGUUGGGGUUGUGGGAUCUCUCUUCUGUUGUCUGCCGGCAACAGGACGAGUCAGAAACCGUUGAUGUAGGCGAAGGACAUGCGAAAGGUCCGGCGUAGAGGGUAAGACCCCCGUAGCUGAAACAUUAGCGGCUCGUUUGAGAGACACCCAAGUAGCACGGGGCCCGAGAAAUCCCGUGUGAAUCUGGCGGACCACCCGUUAAGCCUAAAUAUUCCCUGGUGACCGAUAGCGGAUAGUACCGUGAGGGAAUGGUGAAAAGUACCGCGGGAGCGGAGUGAAAUAGUACCUGAAACCGUGUGCCUA